AUCUAACUGACGAGUCGCAAAUAGGACUAAAUGCACGUCAAACUGGAU
rnacentral:hammerhead_ribozyme from 1 species